rnacentral:lncRNA from 1 species
AAGUUGAUUGGUCAAAGCAGUAUCAUUAACGAUUGAUUCUGAUUGAUAAUGCUAUGUGCCAUGACCAACGUUGUCAAAACGCAUGGCCUAUGUUCAUAACAAAAGGAUCCGCCACCGAUCUUCUGAAAAAGGAAACAAAGUGCUAAAGCGAUGAAAGACGAAGUCGAAGGCAAAUUUGCUUCAAAUCGGCAAAGCUUAUUGGGUGUUCAAAGGAGAGAUGGAAGGACAGACAUUCCCUCAACCUAUCAAUUCAGACAUGUGUAAGAUGUUUUUUAUUUGAUUAUGCAAAGUUUCUUUUAGGAAAUCAUGCAAGAGACGAGACAAAAGUCAGGCCAUCUUCCUUUCCAAUCAAAACAUUUCAUCCCUAGUCAUCCCUUUUGAACUAUUAGAACAAUAAUUUUCGUUUGGCAGCCCCUGAGAAUUGCAAACCCCACACUGGGGCAAAUUCAUUUUGAAAAGUGAUCAGAAAGAAAAGAAAAACUCCACACUGGGGCAAAUUUAUCUUUGAAAGAGAUAUGGGAAAAAAGAAAGAACCCUACACUGGGGCAAAUUUAUUUUUGAAAGGAAAAUGAAAAGGAAGAAAGAACCCCACACUGGGGCAAAUUUAGUUUUUGAAAGGAAAAUGCAAAGAGUGAGAAAAAUGCAAUGAAGAAAAUGCAAAGAAAGAGAAAAUCCAAUCAAACUGGGGCAAGUUUCCUCGGUUUCGUUCAAAAUUAGAGAUAAUUUCAAAAUGAUGUAAUCUCAGGUUAUUUCGCACCUCCCUCAUCAAAAUUUGUUUUCAAGCCUCAACUUUUCUUGAAAAACACCCCACCUGACCUCAUUACAAAAGCCCAAAGUCCUGGCUUUCGUCACUUGUUGCAUUUCUAUUAGGGAUUUUGCUAAUCAACUGGCAGGUGAUGUCCAUAAUGCCUUCGUUUAAGUUUAUAAGGGAAGCGCAUUUUACUGAUGCCAGCAAUCUUCAACUUACAUUCCUGAGUCGACUAUGGUUGAGCUUUUCCAUUGUUUCCUUAAGUGAAAAUCCACAAGGGCACCUCAAGAGAAAGGAAAUAAGAAAGAAGGAAAAGAAAGAAAAAGAAAAAAAGGAAAAGAAAAGAAAAAACCAACAAAAAGGGUGGGGGACAACCUUGGUGAAAACUCGAAUGGGCGCUAAGGUAGGUUUCUGCAAUGAGAAAGCACAAAGAGGAACAACUGGUGGUUUGGUCCAUUUAGAUUUCUCCUCAUUUUUGUCAUACCUCUGGCAACAUUGAAUUCCGGAACUAAGAUAUCCAAAGACUUGAAUAUGACAUCCGUUGGCCAAAGCUGUGUCAUUUUGAAAAAACAUUCUUUUGCACAUACAUUCUUAGGAAACUCAUUUUUUCCCAAAUUACUUGUAUUCAUGACAUUUUUGUAGAAUUUAAGCACACAUGGUUGUGUGUGCAUUCUUGUGCAUAUUCAUUUUUACAUGACAUGUGAAUUUUCUUGCAUACCUCAUUUUUUUUAUCGUUGAAUUGUGAUAAAUGACAAUCCCUGUGAUUUAUUUCAAAAAGUAUACUUGGAUUCAGUCAUCCUUUGGAAACAGUUGAAAUCCAGCCAAGCCAGCUACACAAACUUCAUAAUAUGGCAAAGCAUAUACCUGGUCAGUUUGAAAAUCGGAAAAGCCUUAGGGCGAGAAAUCCAACUCAAUCGGCUGUCGCAGCAAAAGUUGAUAAAGGCGUCGAGAGACUCAUGUUUACACGAUUCUCAAAGGAAAACGGGGCAAAUGAUGGUGGCAAUUUCUUUUGUUUUUUCUCAUUUGCAGAAAAUUGCAGGCACAGAUGAAAGUAAUCACACUUCGCACCGAAAUCGAUGUCGGAAAGAGUCCUCCGGUGAACAAAGGCAGAUCGAAAAUGUUGCAAGCAAAUUUGAUCAAAAGGUGCAACAGCAUGGCGAUACAAAGUCAACUUUGGACUCAAAUUGCAAAAAUUCACCAUACUGGGGCAAAUUAAUUUUUUGGAAAGAUUCUCAAAAGUCAAAAGAAAAGCGAAAAGAAAAGAAAAUCAUCAAUCAAAAAACAAAUCAAGUUUCAUCACGACAGGCUUGGGUUUAAUCCCACUGUCUGAUGGUCAAGGUUUUCAUUUUCAGUACUACUGGAGCUGGGUUUGUCCCGCCAGUAAGCAUUUCAUUUUCAUCACCGCUAGCCGUUGGGUUUGUCCCACUAGUGUGCCUUUUAAUUGCAUUUGCCACCAGCCGUUGGGUUUGUCCCACUGGUGAGCCUUUCAUUUUCAUCGCCACCAGCCGUUGGGUUUGUCCCACUGGUGAGCCUUUCAUUUUCGUCGCCGCUAGCCGUUGGGUUUGUCUCACUAGUGUGCCUUUUAAUUGCAUUUCCCACCAGCCGUUGGGUUUGUCCCACUGGUGAGCCUUUCAUUUUCAUUGCCACCAGCCGUUGGGUUUGUCCCACUGGUGAGCCUUUCAUUUUCGUCGCCGCUAGCCGUUGGGUUUGUCCCACUAGUGUGCCUCUUAAUUGCAUUUCCCACCAGCCGUUGGGUUUGUCCCACUGGUGAGCCUUUCAUUUUCAUCGACUAGCACCAGCCGUUGGGUUUGUCCCACUGGUGAGCCUUUCAUUUUCAUCGCCGCUAGCCGUUGGGUUUGUCCCACUAGUGUGCCUUUUGUUUGCAUUUGCCACCAGCCGUUGGGUUUGUCCCACUGGUGAGCCUUUCAUUUUCAUCGCCGCUAGCCGUUGGGUUUGUCCCACUAGUGUGCCCUUUAAUUGCAUUUAUCACCAGCCGUUGGGUUUGUCCCGCACGGUGUAGUCUUUUGCAUUUUCAUUCGCCGCUAGCCGUUGGGUUUGUCGCCACUGGUGAGCCCUUUUUAUUUUCAUCGCUAGGCACCAGCCGUUGGGUUUGUCCCACUGGUGAGUCUUUCAUUUUCAUCGCCGCUAGCCGUUGGGUUUGUCCCACUAGUGUGCCCUUUAAUUGCAUUUAUCACCAGCCGUUGGGUUUGUCCCACUGGUGAGUCUUUCAUUUUCAUCGCCGCUAGCCGUUGGGUUUGUCCCACAAGUGUGCCUUUUAAUUGCAUUUAUCACCAGCCGUUGGGUUUGUCCCACUGGUGAGCCUUUCAUUUUCAUCGCCGCUAGCCGUUGGGUUUGUCCCACUAGUGUGCCUUUUGUUUGCAUUUGCCACCAGCCGUUGGGUUUGUCCCACUGGUGAGCCUUUCAUUUUCAUCGCCGCUAGCCGUUGGGUUUGUUCCACUAGUGUGCCUUUCAUCUGCAUUCGCCGCUAGCCGUGGGUCAGUCCCACUAGUGCGCAUUUCAUUUUGUUCAGCCAUUAGCCGUGGGUCAGUCCCACUAGUGCGCACUUCCUUUUGUUUAACCACUAGCCAUGGGCCAGUCCCACUAGUGCGUAUUUCAUUUUGUUCAGCCACAGAGAUCAAAUGUCCCUCUUGGUACAAAAUUUGAACUACCCCGAGGUAAAAACUCAAUUUAUUGUUUAAACCUUCCCAGGGCAGUCCCGUUUAAAUUCUUGUUCGGGUCAGUCCCGUUUUAUUUUUCUUGUUCGGGUCAGUCCCGUUUAAAUUCUGUUCGGGUCAGUCCCGUUUAAAUUCUUGUUCAGGUCAGUCCCGCUUUAAAUUUCUUGUCUCAGUCAAUUCCUUGUUAAAAUUUUCUUUCAAAAGAGGUCAGUCCUCAUUUUCAAAAAUGGCAGUCGUUCGAGUCGUUCGUGACCGAAUGACACAGGUAAGUGUUUGGUGUCUACUUCUUUGUCUCAAGUUUUUCCAAAACUCAGACAAAGAGGGGCAAACUGUAGACACCAAAUUUUGGUACGAUUUAUUUAUUUUUGUUCAUGCUAGUUUUUCGUAGUUAUUCUUUUUGUUUUCUUUAGUCGUUUACUUGUUUUAUUUUACUUGUUUUUUUAUUUUUAGUCUUUUUAAUGUAGAAUUUCUCAAAAAAAAGAAAAUAUGUUUUAGUUGUUUUAAAAUUCAAUUUUUGUCUUGGAAAAAGAAAAAAAGGAAAGGGAAGAAAAUUGUUCACAAAAUAUGUUUAUUUCUUUUAAAAUUCAAUCUUUUGACUUUAUUUAUUUUUUGGUUAGGUUAUUUCGAAAACAAAAGAAAAGUGAAAAAAUGAAAAUGAAAAAAAAAAGAAAAAGAAAAAAUAGCAAUUUUUGUUUUAGUUGAUUUUAUUUAGUUUGUUUUAGUCAGUUUUAAUCAAUUUAUUUUUGUUUAUUGUUUGGUUGGUUUAGAAACGGAAAAAUGAAAAAAAAAGAAAGAAAGAGUGGAAAAUGAUGAAAAAAAAGGAAGGAAAAAUAGACAAUUUGCAUUUUUGGUGUUUCUUGUUUAUUUAUUUUUCAUUUCAAAUGUUAAUUAAUUGGUUUGUUAAUUUGUUUUUGUUAUUUAUUAUUAUCAUUUUAGUCUUAUUCAAAAAAAAAAAAAAAAAAUGGUCGCGCAUGCAAGCUGCAUAUUUUGCAGCUUGCAAGGACAGUCUCGCAUGUCCCAUUUGAUGGCUGGAUUUUAAUGUGGAUUAAGCCAUUCAUCCUCACCUUUGAGGUGAGGGUUUGGGUCUGAUAUAAAGAGAAAAAGAAACCACAGCCGCGGGGGGGAGAGUUUUUGGGUUUAACGGAAAAAGCAUACGGCAAAAGGAAGUGGACGGCUAGAGGGGUUUUGAGAGAGUCAUCGGUAAAGGAGAGACAAGGGGGUAACAACGGGGUUUUAGAGAAAAGAAAGCAGCUUUGAGGAAGAUUAAAACAGAAAGGAAGGUUCACCGGUGGUUAGGAUUAGAGAGUGAAAGAGAGGGAACUGAGCAAACGAACGGAACUGAGGAAGAAGAAGCCCACGGCUCUCUUCAGUUUUCCAUCAUCAUCGAAAGGCCAAGUUGCCCGCUGAAGAUCUUUCCAAGCUGCCUCCUUUUGCUGCUCAGGUAUAUGAACGUUUACUUCCUCUUUUAAAAUCUGUUUGAUGUUAACGUUGUAUCCUUGCCAUGUUUGGGUUCGGAAUUUUUGAUUUGGCAGAGUGCAAUGGGUAGAACAUCGUGGGCUUGUGGUUUGUAGCUUAAAGCUGUUGUUUUUUGAUGUUUUUUUUUGGCAUGUUGGGCAUGGUAAGGUCUGAUUUUGGUUGGGCGUUAGAUUAUAUUUCAUCCCUAGACUGCAUUUUAGUAGCAAGAUCAUACCUUUGAAAAGAAAAGGCAUUUAUAUGGCAUGGCCCAUUUCCAUUUUGAAUCUGUUUUGUUUCGUUGGAUGUGGGAGUCUUGUUCUGGUUUUAUUGCUGCAAGUGUCAUCCUUUCUUUUGCUGCAUUUCUACCUAAUCAUUUUGGUUUAGAGUGUUUGUUAAUUACCUGGGUUAAGAGCUAGUAGCUGGUUGAGAGGUUUGAUUAAGUUGGGUGUUUGAAUCUGGAAUUUAUAUGUAAAAAGAGAAGUAGCAGCAGAAUUUUUCCAGAUUUACAUGUUCCCAUGCUAAGUUGUUCUUUUCUUUCUUGGUUCGUUUGAAUGUUGAAAUGUUGUGUCACGAUGCUUGGAUGGGUUUUUGUGUGUUUGAGUCAAAGUCAGAAAUACAUGAAUCAUGCUUGAAUAAUUGCUAAAAAUAAAUCUCCAAGUUGCUGACCCAUGUUUCACAUGUUUUUCCCAGAAUUUUGUAUGAUCUAUUCCUAAGUCUUUUGCUUGUUUUUGAUGGUGGUGAUUAUAUGUUUUGCUUAGUCUACAGUUGUGGGUUUGAUUUUGAAAAUAUAUAAUCCGAGUGGGAUUAAGAAAUGGGCUUUUGGAAAUAGAGAGUGCAGCAAGUGUGUCUUGAUUGUAACUAAUCUGUCCGUGGUUCUGCAUGGAGUGUUUCCAACUUUUGUAAGAUUUCUUCCCAUGGUUUUGGCUUAUUUGGAUGUUGAGCUUGAUGAUGAUUGUUGUUAAAGUCAAAAUGGUAAUGUUUGUUUAAGGGUAGCCGUGUUUAGAUAGGAAGGUUGCAUUGAAAAAUCUCUAAAAGCUGCAUUUUAUUCACUGUUUCAUCGAAGCAGCCCACAAAGUUAAGCUUUCUCUUGUAUGUUUAGAUGCUAAGCUCUAAUGGAAUUUUGUUUAGAUCAAGUUUUGGAUGUGAGAAUGGUUUGUUUUGUUGCUCAUUGUAAGCUGAAAUCUAAAUGAAAGUUUGGGAUGAAUUCUGGAAUCUUUAUUGGAAUUGGAAUUGCAGCAAGCUUCAUUUUCUGCCGCAAGUCUCUUUCUUUUUUCUUGUCAUUGGUGCCGCAAUUUUUGUCCUGCAGCAGCUCUUGAAUUUGGUUUUAGAUAUCCUUUGCUUGUUUCAUUUGGGUGUUGAAGGGAUGAGAAGGAAGGUUUGGUGUUGAUGUUUGUGUGUUUGUUUAAGGAAACAUGUCCAAACAUUGCUGGAAAAUGUACAUCAGCCUGCCGAACUUUGUGUUUCACAGUCCUAGUUUUUUUUUUUUUGUUUGUUUAAUUUUUUUUUUUUGUUCCAAACUGGUAUUCUAUCUAGAUAACAACUUCAUCAUGUUUCUUCUUGGCUUACUUGCAUGAAUGUGUCCCAGCUAAGUGAAACAAAAAGAAGCUGCAUUUCACUCGUAUGUCUUUUGAUGUUUUUAUUGUUUCCUUGUUCACGCAAACAGCUCAUAAAGUUGUGUUUUGAUCACCUUGUUUGCAUACUCCAUCUUGUGUCAAUGGAGGUUAUAGGAGAAUGGAUGCAGCGUGAGCUUUGCUCAGGUUUUUGCCAUAUUGCUGGUUUGUUAAAAAGAAAAGAAGGCAACUUCGGCUUGUCUAAAUUUUUAUUGCAGCAAUGCUGCAAGAGCUUGUAGUCGACAUGGAAUGUUUCUUUUCAUCUUUUUUGAUGUUGGUUUUGUUGUUCAUGAUUAGAAGAAUCUGUGGAAUGGCCUUGUUGCUUGAAUCUGUUGUCGGGAGUUUAAGGAAGCAAUUUGAUAAGCUGCAAAUUUUGCAGCAAAGGAAAGCAUUGCAGAAAACUGAAAUUCACGUAUGCAUGCAUGAAAAGCCAAAGAAAAAUUGUCUUUUAACCCUUCAAGUUCCUCCUUGUUCUGCAAAAGCCCAAUUACAUUCCCAAUUCUUGCAAUUAAGUCCUAGGAUAGUUGCAAUUGGAUCCAUUGUUUGACUUUUCCUUCGCCCUUGGACCCCCGAAGCUUUUAAAAAAUGUUCCAUUAGGCUUAAGUGCUUGAUUAAUGUUCGCAAUGGAAUCUUUGGUAGCAUCAAUUUCUCAACUCAAUUGCUUGUUUGUUUUCACUAAUUAUCAUGUUUUUUUGUUUGAGAGGUACUUAAUGCAUGAAUUUGUGAGCUUUGUGUCUAAAUGAGUUGGUGUUUGCCUAUCUUCUUUAAUUUCCCUAAAAUAAAUGGGUUAUUUUGACCUUUUUCUUGCUUUUAGACUUUUAAAGUUCUUAAAAUGUGUCAUUUGGAUUUGAAUGAUCGAUUAAAGGUCGUUUUUGAGUUUUAGUAGUUGCUAUAUUUGGGAAUUUGAUGAGCUUGUUCCACUUUUCCUUGGCCAUUAUGCAUUAUUUGAAUUUUAAUUGCAAUUGAGCAAUAAUUUGAUGUUUUUGGUGAAAUCAAAUUGGUUUAUAUGUUUAUUCUAUCAUUGGUGCAUUAAUCUUUUCUUUUGAUGGUUUUAGCCCGUUUUAAGUCUCGUCCAUUUAACACUACAAGAGGGAGCGGUAUAAUUCCUUUUAUCUUUUUUUGUUUCUCUUAUGUGACUCAACGUGCUAAGUGAAUUGCAUGUAUACUUUGCUUUCCUAGCUUUUCUUUAAUUCCUUUUACUUAUGUCAUUUACUUUUUUGUUUUCAUUAAGUUAUUCUUUUAAUGGGGUAUGUGUACACCUCUUGGCUUGUAAUAGAUAGGGCGUAGCAAGUAAUUUGGUCCAUUUCCCCUUUCCCCUUUGUUUUAGUUAGCAAAUGUAAUGGUUGCAUGCCUACGUGUUAAGUGUUUAAUCGCUUUAUUAGGCCCUUGCAUCUAGUCAAGCAUGCUAAGUGUUAUGUGCUACGUGUUUAUAAGUGAUUCGCAUGUCUACUCGCUUUUUAUAGUGUGGAUGAAUGGAAUGAAUGAAUGUACGUCACCACACUAGUCCAACGCUAGUUGUGGCUUCUUUUAUCGUUUCCACUAGUCCAACGCUAGUCGGAAUUCAUAGAAUGGGCUAGUCCAAUGCUAGACCCAAUAGGUUCUUUUUUCCCUUUUUCAUUAAGUGCAUGAUCACCACAUAUCACGCAUUUUUCCUUAGUUUAUCAUUUGGUAUGUUCCUCAAACCCCUUCCCCUUCACUUUAGGACUUGCAUCUCAUGCUAGUUAGGGUUCAUUUGCGUGAAAAUCCCCUUCCGAUAAGGGAAACGAGCGAGUGUGGCUACUCGAUAGCCUUAGCACGCUAGUUUCGCCUUCUAAUCCGAGGGAAAAUCAAAGUCGAAGAAUUAGGCGUCAUUCCCGUACCCGACUUGUUGCAUUCCCCUAGGGUCAUACUUUCAUUUUUAUCACUUCCAUACUCUUUUAAUCACAUUUCUCUUACAUUUCUCAAUCCAUAUUUUUUCACUACAUCUUUAUCAUUUAUUUACUUUACUUCACAAAUGAAAUUCAAGUUUCACUUAUUUAUGUACUAUUCUAUCUUCAUUCAUUUGCACACACUAAUACUUUGAUUUUUCAUCCAAAUUCACACGUGCACUUUCUUUACACACUCACACACUAAUACUUUGAUUUUUCAUCCAAAUUCACACGUGAACUUUCUCGUCACAUGCGCACACAAACACUUUGUUUUUUUACACCAUUUCAUACAUGAAUCCUUUCAUACACUUGCACACUUGCACUUGAGUCACCAUUUGCAUCAAUCGACCUCUAUGAGGUUUCCCUUUAUUGGCCGCCACAAUUCAUGUGGUCUGGGACCAAAAACCUCACGAGAGACAUCGUAGAAUUUAGGAUUGCAUCCUUUCCGUUUUGCAUUCAUAUAGGCAUAAUCCAACGUGCGAUACAUACAUUGGGUAGAAGAUUAGGAAAGGUAAGGUUAAGUCACGCAACUAGCCUUGGUUAGGUCAAAGGGGUGCCUUGGAGUCUAUCCUUGCCUUCCCCUUUGUCAAACGUGACUCCCGAACCUUUUUCUUUGUUUUACGUAGACUAGGAGUCAUUUUAAAAAGGGUUUAUUACUACUUGACUUUAAAACUCAUUUUUAGAUGACUUGGUACACCUUAAAUCAUUACCAAGUGGCGACUCCAAACUUUUCAUUUCAAAACCCUUUUUAAAACUAUUUUUUGGGUCAAAUCGUCGCUUUCCAAGUCCCAUUGAGACCCAUAUCUUUUUCAACUCACAAAAACCAUUUUUUAAUCAAAAUUGAAUCAAAAACAUCUUUCUCAAACCAUUUAUCUUUCUUAUCUAACAUAUUUAUUUUUCUUAUCAAAAAAUGGGGCGCGACAGUUGGCGACUCCACUGGGGACAUUCGAGAGUCCGAGCAAAUUUGAUUUAAUCAAUCUUUUUCUUCUUUUAAACCUUUUUAUUUAUCACAUUGGAUGUUUAGGGUUGCAUUUUUCCUUUUCUAGGAUUUUUGCAUUUCGCAUAUCAAUUCACUUCCUCACACGUUCGCCUACUAUUGUUUUGAUGAAUGGAUGUUUAUAUGUGAUUCCGCGCUUUGCAUUGCAUUUGGGAGGGGAUUCUACCUUAGAGCCUUGCGUGCGUUCUUGAUCCCUUCCCUCCAAAACGUGCACUAUCAUACGCGCAUACGCUUUACUAUUCAUCCCCCUUUAUUUUUCUUUUUAGUGGCUUGUCACGCCACUCCACCCUAUUAGGAUUAGGAGACCCACUUGGACGUGUGAUCGUGACACGACGUGUGCGUAGCACGAUCCAAUGGGUCACUCACUCUUCCGCUUUAAACUUUGGGUUAAUAUCCUUAGUUUUUAGUCGAAGGUUGAGGUUUUUUAUAGAUUCACUCAAACAUGCGGCCGUGACACGACGUGUGCGUAGCGGUGUUUGGGGAAUCGCUCGAGCCACCGACAAAGGGCCAUGGAAUUGAUGACCCUUGGCCCUAAGUCUGAAGGCUUGGGGACCUGAGCUUAUCGAGUUAGAUGCAUUAGUGAACCCCAACCUCAUGCAUCCAUAUAGUUCACCUAGGGUAGAGUCUGCCUAACCCUAUUAGGGACACCAUUCACGAGGGGAGGGAUCCCAUCCUUUUCCUCAUUUACUUUUCCUGUUUUUUAUCAUUUAAUUGUCCAACGUGUUAUGUGAUUAAAUGUGGGACUAACUUUCCUUGUUUCUUGUUCAACCCUAGCAAAUAAGAGGUCUGGCAUGACCUUCUUUUAAGAAGCCUACCCGUGUAGAUAGGACAUGGCACGUUUAAGAAGUUUUGUAUAUUUUUGUGCAUAAAUAAUAAUGUCAUGUCAUUUUGGGCCUACCCUGGCAAAUCAAGGGUCCUUUAGGUCAUAUUGCAUAUUUUACUGGCUUAAUAAAUGGCAUCAUGCAUAAGCCCUAGAAAGGGAAUGCCAUUUAGGCGAUCCCGUGCUAGGAAUAAACCACCUUGUGUCUCGGAUACUUAAUCCAAAGGGACUUGCACGUUUACAUUUUGUACCAUCCAAAGGGGUAGUGCACAAGGUAAGGUAGGAUCCAAUCAUCUUCAUAAGAGCGAUUUUUGGAAUAUGAGUAUCUAAUAAUCACUUUUUGGCCAUUUUUAUCAAAAUUGGUAAAAAUCCCUUGUGUAAAAGGACAUUAAUUUGAAGAAAAUUCACGAAUGAUUCCUCCUAUUGAGAUGAUAAAUCAGUUGAGGCCAAAAUUUGAUUUUAGAAGGCUCAUAGGCUAAUGCAUCGUAAUAAGGUUUUUUGAGACUACCAGUGGAUGGCUUGAUUUUUAAUAAGCUCCUAAUUCUAUCAAAUCCAUUGGACCAUUUCAUUCAUCAAUUUCAUCCAGUCUAUUUUUAUCAAUUGGCCUUCAAUUCAUUUGACCAAUUUACCCUUUUUAGGGUCAUCCGGUCAAUUUUUGAAAAAUCAUCCAUUCAUUUGACCAAUUUACCCUUUUUAGGGUCACCUGGUCGAUUUUGAAUAAAUCGUCAAUUCAUUUGACCAAUUUACCCUUUUUAGGGUCAUCCGGUCAAUUUUUGAAAAAUCAUCCAUUCAUUUGACCAAUUUACCCUUUUUAGGGUCACCUGGUCGAUUUUGAAUAAAUCGUCAAUUCAUUUGACCAAGUUACCCUUUUUAGGGUCAUCUGGUCGAUUUUUGAAUAAAUCUUCAUUUCGUUUCAUUUGGCCAAUUCACCCAUUUUUAGGGCAAUCUAGUCGAUUUUCUGAAUAAAUCACCAAUUUUUCCAUUCUUAGGGCGAUCUUAUCGAUUUCGAGUAAAUCAUUAAUUUCGUCCGAUUCAUUUGACCAGUUUACCCUUUUAGGGCGAUCCGGUCAAUUUUGAAUAAAUUCUCGAUUUCAUUUGACCAAAUCCCUUUUUUGGAAUGAUUCGGUCAAUUUUGAGUAAGUUUUUAAAUUUCACUCAAUUCAUUUGACCCGAUUCACUUUUUAGGGUAAUGCGGUCGAUUUUAAAUAAAAUUGUCAAUUUCGUUCAACCCAUUUGACCGAGUAGGGUUUCAAUGACGAAUUUCAAUUUGGAAACCUAGUCGGUUUUGAGAAAACUAUUCAUUGCAUCCAGACAUUUGAUCAGUUGGAAUUUUGAUCCGUAAAUUCACUGAGAAAUUUUAUCAACGAAUUCCAAACUCUUCGAUAGGAAGUUCGUCAAGGUCAAACCCGUGCAUUUUUGCAAAAUCUUGUAUUGAUCAAAAGUGAUCAAUCCAUUCGGACGUGGACCUCAUUUUGCAAAAAAUUACUUUCACUCAAUGAGUUGAUCAGAUCCAUCAGGUAUGGUAUGGUGCCUACCCUAGAGGAUUGCAUUUUCAUGCUAGGCCUACCCUUGGCACAAAAAGGGUUCCCCCAUAGGACAUGCAUCCGAAUUUCCUGAAAAUCUACUAACUCUUGCCUUUUUCUCUUUCUUUUCUUUAUUUUUUAUUGGAAUAACUAAGCAAGAGUUAAAUCUAAAGGCAAUCUUUUCAAAAAUUCUCAGGUAAUAUUUAAACAUAGCUUCUCGUCGAAGCCCCAUCAUAACACGAUCCCGUAGUCAAGUUCAGAGGAGUCGUGUAAACAUGAGUCCGCAACUGGAACCAUCAGACAGGUUUGUUACUACCGCCCAGCCUGAGACCACAAGUUUGGGGGUUCAGUUGACUGAGAUGCUCACUAAGUUCGGUGAGAUGACCACUGAGAUGGCGGCCCAGAGGAAAUUAAUCGAUGAGCUUAUCAGCAGUGGAGUUCAACCCGAGCCCGUGCCCGGCAGGCAGCCUGGGCCAGAGCCAUUUGUCAUACCUUCAAUUCAAGCCACUGUUGCUCCAUUUUUCCCUAUUCCAACCGAAGGGGCUUUCACAUACCCCACUAUACAUUUGCCAUACACUUACCCUCCUGAUCCUUCAUUUUUCCCUACUUGCAUGCAAGGCCCACAACCCCAAAUCACUUCAAACAUACCACCAGAGCCACAUACUUUUUAUCACACUGCUGUUGAGCCAUUCCUACCAGACCAUACUGCUCAAACCAAGCCAGAAAUGGGGGAAUCUUCCGCUCCCGUUGAUAUAAAGCUGCUCAAACGCCUUGACCGUUUUGAUGAAUUUAUAAGGAAAAGUCAGGGUUUAAACAAGCAAGGAGUGCUGGACUAUGACGAGCUUUGUCUCUUUCCAAAUGUACAAUUGCCUGAAGGAUUCAAAACUCCGAAGUUUAACAAGUAUGAUGGGACGGGCAAUCCCAAGACGCACCUCCGAUUGUUCGCCAACAAGUUGGGUAGGCCAACAGAUGAUGAAAAUCUGCCUUUGAGGCUAUUCCCAGAAAGUCUCGAGGGGGAUGCACUCGACUGGUAUUCCAAGCUGAAACCCGAAGAAGCGAAGACCUGGCUUGACUUGUCCAACGCUUUUGUAAGGCAGUACGAGUAUAAUUGCGAGCUGGCUCCAACACGAACCACGUUGGAAGGGACAAAGAGGAAACCCUCCGAGGAUCACAAGACUUAUGCUAAGAGGUGGAGGAAAGUAGCUGCAAAAGUCGAGCCACCAAUGACGGAGGACGAAAUCAUACGAACUUUCAUUAAGGCACAUGAUCCGCCGUACUUUGAAGAAAUUUUCCGCAUGACUGGAUGCUCAUUUGCCGCAAUUGUUAAUAAACUUGAGGAAUUUGAUGAUUUCGUGAAGGCUGGAAAGAUUGUUAAUGUGUCUGCCCUCAAAUCGCAGUUGGAUGCCUUGCAAAGCCAAGGUAGUAAUGGGAAGAAGCAACAAUCCAAAAGGCAAGAGGGGGAAACUGCUUUUGUCUGGAAUCGAAGCCCUGUUCCAAGACCCAGACCUCGACAAUACCCUACCUACUCAAACCCUUACUAUUCAAGCCCUCAUCCUGUUUAUCACACCAAUACCAUUCAUCCUCGACCUCGGCCUAACUACAACAACUCUCCUAUGGCCCCUUUUCAAAUAUCUCAACCUAACUUCCAACAAGUUCGACCCCGACCUCCCUACAAUCAACAAUUUCCUCCACCAAAUAGGCCCACCUAUAAUUACCCCCGACCCAUUGAACCCCAAAAACAAAACCAUUAUCGUACCUUUACCAAUCUUGGCAUGCCCUUGGACCAAUUGUACGAACAAUUAAAAGCCGCCGGUAAAAUCAGCGUAAUUCCCCCUCCAGCUCACCCUCAUGGCGUCCCUGCCGACUACGAUCCGCAGUACACUUGUGCCUAUCAUUCGGGAGCACCCGGCCACCCAACUACUGACUGUAGAGCACUUAAGCACAGAGUCCAAGACAUGAUCGAGGCAGGUGAAAUAGUGCUAAAAAAGAAAGGUGGACAAGGACCGAGCAUAAAUACAAAUCCUUUUCCUGAACACAAGGACACCUUUGAGGCAUCCACUUCCAAUGAAGACAUUUGAAAGUCUUGAAGAAACCUUGCACAAUUGGAUUGCCAAGUAUCUUCUCUCGCAAAGGGAAUUUGGGAUGAAUCCAGGGAUUGUUAUUUAUUAAACUUCAUGAAACUCGUCACCGUUUGCUUUUGAGUAAAUAGUUUUAUCAUGUUUAAUUAAGUUUUGACUAAAGCAUUUUUGCAUUAUCAAGCUCCUAUGUUGUUUUCUUUCGAUAGCAUGCAUGGUCACAUCUUUUCAUUAUUUUGUUAAUACCAUUUUGUUUAUAUUGAUUGUUUAUUGGUUCAAUUUCAUUCUAAAUUCUUUCGAUGGCCAAAAUAAAAUUAUUUGACCCUUUGAAUAUCACUGUUCUGGAAUCCGAUGAAGCCUUCAUUGAAAAAUCCCUUCAUUGAGAAAUCCUUUCUUUGAGACCAUACAUUGAAAAAACCCUUCUUUGAGAAAGCUUUCAUUGAGAAAACCCUUCAUGGAGAAAUCCCUGCUUUGAAAAGGCCUUCAUUAAGAGAUCCCUUCUUUGAAAAAGCCUUCAUUUCCCUUCAUUGAAAAAUCCUUUCAUUUGGAAAUUCCUUCAUUGAUAAAUCCCUUCAUUUGAGAAAAUUCCUUUCCAGCCAGGUUAAAAGUUGAUUGGUCAAAGCAGUAUCAUUAACGAUUGAUUCUGAUUGAUAAUGCUAUGUGCCAUGACCAACGUUGUCAAAACGCAUGGCCUAUAUUCAUAACAAAAGGAUCCGCCACCGAUCUUCUGAAGAAGGAAACAAAGUGCUAAAGUGAUGAAAGAUGAAGUCAAAGGCAAAUUUGCCUCAAAUCGGCAAAGCUUAUUGGGUGUUCAAAGGAGAGAUGGAAGGACAGACAUUCCCUCAACCUAUCAAUUCGGACAUGUGUAAGAUGUUUUU